ACAUCGCCUCUCGAACUAUCAUGAGAGGUACAGCCUGCCCAGUGACCCAAUGUCAACGGCCGCGGUAUCCUAACCGUGCGAAGGUAGCGUAAUCACUUGUUCUUUAAAUGAGGACUAGUAUGAAUGGCAUCACGAGGGUUAUACUGUCUCCUUUUUCCAAUCAGUGAAACUAAUCUCCUCGUGAAGAAGCGAGGAUUAUUUUAUAAGACGAGAAGACCCUAUGGAGCUUUAAACUAACCAGCAUUUGCUAUAUUGUAUAAUUUUUCAGAAAUAUAAAAAACAGCUUAGCUCUUUGACUAUAAGUUUUCGAUUGGGGUGAUCACGGAACAAAAAAUAACUUCCGUGCCGAAAGGACUAUUCCUGAGCCAAAAGUGACAACCUUAAGCACUAAAAAAUUAACGCUUAUUGACCCA
rnacentral:rRNA from 1 species